ACCUGGCUGGCUCAGUCGGAAGAGUGUGUGACUCUUGAUCUCGAGAUCAUGGGUUUGAGCCCCACGUUGGGUG
rnacentral:tRNA from 1 species